rnacentral:rRNA from 1 species
UACGUAGGGUGCGAGCGUUAAUCGGAAUUACUGGGCGUAAAGCGUGCGCAGGCGGUUUCACAAGCUCGAUGUGAAAGCCCCGGGCUCAACCUGGGAAUUGCGAUGGAGACUGCAAGGCUUGAAUCUGGCAGAGGGGGGUAGAAUUCCACGUGUAGCAGUGAAAUGCGUAGAGAUGUGGAGGAACACCGAUGGCGAAGGCAGCCCCCUGGGUCAAGAUUGACGCUCAUGCACGAAAGCGUGGGGAGCAAACAGG